AAGAGAGGAGCUUGCUCUUCUUGGAUGAGUUGCGAACGGGUGAGUAACGCGUAGGUAACCUGCCUUGUAGCGGGGGAUAACUAUUGGAAACGAUAGCUAAUACCGCAUAACAAUGGAUGACACAUGUCAUUUAUUUGAAAGGGGCAAUUGCUCCACUACAAGAUGGACCUGCGUUGUAUUAGCUAGUAGGUGAGGUAACGGCUCACCUAGGCGACGAUACAUAGCCGACCUGAGAGGGUGAUCGGCCACACUGGGACUGAGACACGGCCCAGACUCCUACGGGAGGCAGCAGUAGGGAAUCUUCGGCAAUGGGGGCAACCCUGACCGAGCAACGCCGCGUGAGUGAAGAAGGUUUUCGGAUCGUAAAGCUCUGUUGUAAGUCAAGAACGAGUGUGAGAGUGGAAAGUUCACACUGUGACGGUAGCUUACCAGAAAGGGACGGCUAACUACGUGCCAGCAGCCGCGGUAAUACGUAGGUCCCGAGCGUUGUCCGGAUUUAUUGGGCGUAAAGCGAGCGCAGGCGGUUUGAUAAGUCUGAAGUUAAAGGCUGUGGCUCAACCAUAGUUCGCUUUGGAAACUGUCAAACUUGAGUGCAGAAGGGGAGAGUGGAAUUCCAUGUGUAGCGGUGAAAUGCGUAGAUAUAUGGAGGAACACCGGUGGCGAAAGCGGCUCUCUGGUCUGUAACUGACGCUGAGGCUCGAAAGCGUGGGGAGCGAACAGGAUUAGAUACCCUGGUAGUCCACGCCGUAAACGAUGAGUGCUAGGUGUUGGAUCCUUUCCGGGAUUCAGUGCCGCAGCUAACGCAUUAAGCACUCCGCCUGGGGAGUACGACCGCAAGGUUGAAACUCAAGGAAUUGACGGGGGCCCGCACAGCGGUGGAGCAU
rnacentral:rRNA from 1 species